CCGACCAAAUGAUACGUCAUUAAGAGACGAUGACGUUUAUCGAGCGUAAGUCAUUGUGUCUUAUAAGUUGGUUAUCCUUAUAAUCAAAGAGUGUAGAGAUACUGGUACGACAUAUGGAUGAGAUGUAGGAGUACAUCAUCACUAAAUAAGUGACUCACCUGUGGAGUGCUCUGCUAUCAAGAGCAGCUCGCGAAGUGUAUGGGCAUAAGUAUCCCUC
rnacentral:lncRNA from 1 species